AUACCUUUCUCGGCCUUUUGGCUAAGAUCAAGUGUAGUAUCUGUUCUUAUCAGUUUAAUAUUUGAUACGUGGGCCAUCGGCUCACAUGAUAUUAACUCAAUUUUUCUCGAGGAAAGGUCCAUCAAGGUAGCUUGCUACUUGGGUCUUUGAGUUUCGCCUUGGUAUUGCACCAUUGCCUUGGCACACCCCAC
rnacentral:snRNA from 1 species